rnacentral:tRNA from 2 species
GUCCCGUUCGUCUAGAGGCCUAGGACACCGCCCUUUCACGGCGGUAACACGGGUUCGAAUCCCGUACGGGGCACCA